UACGUAGGGGGGCAAGCGUUGUCCGGAUUUAUUGGGCGUAAAGAGCGUGUAGGCGGCCAGAUAGGUCCGUUUGUGAAAAACUCGGAGGCCUAACCUCGAGAGACGCCGAUGGAAACCAUUUGGCUAGAGUCCGGAAGAGGAGAGUGGAAGUUCCUGGUGUAGCGGUGAAAUGACGCAGAUAUCAGGAAGAACACCAAUUGCGAAGGCAGCUCGCUGGGACGUUACUGACGCUGAGACGCGAAAGCGUGGGGGAGCAAACAGG
rnacentral:rRNA from 1 species